UACGGGGGGGGUAAGCGUUGUUCGGAAUUACUGGGCGUAAAGGGCUCGUAGGCGGCCAACUAAGUCAGACGUGAAAUCCCUCAGCUUAACUGGGGAACUGCGUCUGAUACUGGAUGGCUUGAGUUUGGGAGGGGGACGCGGAAUUCCAGGUGUAGCGGUGAAAUGCGUAGAUAUCUGGAGGAACACCGGUGGCGAAGGCGGCGUCCUGGACCAAUACUGACACUGAAACGCGAAAGCCAGGGGAGCAAACGGG
rnacentral:rRNA from 1 species